GGGUUGUGAGGUUAAGCGACUAAGCGUACACGGUGGAUGCCCUGGCAGUCAGAGGCGAUGAAGGGCGUGCUAAUCUGCGAUAAGCGCCGGUAAGGUGAUAUGAACCGUUAUAACCGGCGAUACCCGAAUGGGGAAACCCAGUGUGAUUCGUCACACUAUCAUUAACUGAAUCCAUAGGUUAAUGAGGCGAACCGGGGGAACUGAAACAUCUAAGUACCCCGAGGAAAAGAAAUCAACCGAGAUUCCCCCAGUAGCGGCGAGCGAACGGGGAGGAGCCCAGAGCCUGAAUCAGCAUGUGUGUUAGUGGAAGCGUCUGGAAAGGCGCGCGAUACAGGGUGACAGCCCCGUACACAAAAGCGCAUGUGCUGUGAGCUCGAUGAGUAGGGCGGGACACGUGGUAUCCUGUCUGAAUAUGGGGGGACCAUCCUCCAAGGCUAAAUACUCCUGACUGACCGAUAGUGAACCAGUACCGUGAGGGAAAGGCGAAAAGAACCCCGGCGAGGGGAGUGAAAAAGAACCUGAAACCGUGUACGUACAAGCAGUGGGAGCACCCUUUUGGGUGUGACUGCGUACCUUUUGUAUAAUGGGUCAGCGACUUAUAUUCUGUAGCAAGGUUAACCGAAUAGGGGAGCCGGAGGGAAACCGAGUCUUAACCGGGCGUUAAGUUGCAGGGUAUAGACCCGAAACCCGGUGAUCUAGCCAUGGGCAGGUUGAAGGUUGGGUAACACUAACUGGAGGACCGAACCGACUAAUGUUGAAAAAUUAGCGGAUGACCUGUGGCUGGGGGUGAAAGGCCAAUCAAACCGGGAGAUAGCUGGUUCUCCCCGAAAGCUAUUUAGGUAGCGCCUCGUGAAUUCAUCUCCGGGGGUAGAGCACUGUUUCGGCUAGGGGGCCAUCCCGGCUUACCAACCCGAUGCAAACUGCGAAUACCGGAGAAUGUUAUCACGGGAGACACACGGCGGGUGCUAACGUCCGUCGUGAAGAGGGAAACAACCCAGACCGCCAGCUAAGGUCCCAAAGUCAUGGUUAAGUGGGAAACGAUGUGGGAAGGCCCAGACAGCCAGGAUGUUGGCUUAGAAGCAGCCAUCAUUUAAAGAAAGCGUAAUAGCUCACUGGUCGAGUCGGCCUGCGCGGAAGAUGUAACGGGGCUAAACCAUGCACCGAAGCUGCGGCAGCGAACGUAUCACUUAAAGCGAUUCAGCGGGUUACGAUUGACGGAGCGAAGCGACGUCAAAGCGUAUACAAAGUCGAGUCGGUUUAAGGAUACGU
rnacentral:rRNA from 1 species